UUCGGGGUGCGCAGGCGCGAAAACUUUACAAUGCGGGAAACCGUGAUAAGGGAACCCCGAGUGCCCGUAAAUUCGGGCUGUUAACCUGUUUAAAAAGCAGGUGGAGAAAGGGCCGGGCAAGACCGGUGCCAGCCGCCGCGGUAAUACCGGCGGCUCGAGUGGUGGCCACUAUUACUGGGCUUAAAGCGUCCGUAGCUGGAUUGUUAAGUCUCUUGGGAAAUCUACCGGCUUAACCGAUAGGCGUUCAAGGGAUACUGGCAAUCUAGGGACCGGGAGAGGUGAGAGGUACUCCAGGGGUAGGAGUGAAAUCCUGUAAUCCUUGGGGGACCACCUGUGGCGAAGGCGUCUCACCAGAACGGCUCCGACAGUGAGGGACGAAAGCUGGGGGAGCAAACCGGAUUAGAUACCCGGGUAGUCCCAGCUGUAAACGAUGCGCGUUAGGUGUAUCGGUGACCACGAGUCACCGAGGUGCCGAAGAGAAAUCGUGAAACGUGCCGCCUGGGAAGUACGGUCGCAAGGCUGAAACUUAAAGGAAUUGGCGGGGGAGCAC
rnacentral:rRNA from 1 species